AUCUCAAUGAAGAGGGUGUUUAAAUCAAGGAAACAUUUGAGGGCAUUCCAUGACUCUUUUCCCUUCAAGCAAUAUCACAGACAACCUUCCAUCCAAAUUCAACAAAAUUGAAACCCAUUUUUGAGAGUUGUUGGUGCCUCUUCCUAUAAUUGACGACAACGUUAGGAAAUAUGGAGACGUCGUUGGGGGCCCCAUGAAGACUUGUAUUUUAUUUUUAAAAACUUUCCCACAUUGAAAUCGACUCAACCAUAUAUAGGGUCCAACAGCUGGAAGAAAAUUUCACAUCUUGUGGUGUCCGAUGCGCCCUCGGGUGCCCUUGAAAAUCUGGAGGACCAAGUACCGUCCAUGCCUGGUCGUACUCAUAACCGCAUCAGGUCUCCAAGGUGAACAACCUCUGGU
rnacentral:ncRNA from 1 species